rnacentral:rRNA from 1 species
GACGAACGCUGGCGGCGUGCCUAAUACAUGCAAGUCGAACGCUUCUUUCCUCCCGAGUGCUUGCACUCAAUUGGAAAGAGGAGGAGCGGACGGGGGAGUAACACGUGGGUAACCUACCCAACAGAGGGGGAUAACACUUGGAAACAGGUGCUAAUACCGCAUAACAGGUUAUGCCGCAUGGCAUAAGAGUGAAAGGCGCUUUCGGGUGUCGCUGAUGGAUGGACGCGCGGUGCAUUAGCUAGUUGGUGAGGUAACGGCUCACCAAGGCCACGAUGCAUAGCCGACGGGAGAGGCUGAUCGGCCACACUGGAACUGAGACACGGCCCAGACUCCUACGGGACGCAGCAGUAGGGAAUCUGCGGCAAUGGUGGAAAGUCUGACCGAGCAACGGCGCGUGAGUGAAGAAGGUGCUCGGAUCGUAAAACUCUGUUGUUAGAGAAGAACAAGGACGUUAGUAACUGAACGUCCCCUGACGGUAUCUAAUCAGAAAGCCACGGCUAACUACGUG